GCCAGGCACAAUGGUGCAUGCCUGUAGUCCUGGCUACUUGGGAGGCUGAGGCUGGAGGAUCCCUUGAGUCCAGGAGUUCUGAGCUGUAGUGCGCUAUGUCAAUCAGGUGUCUGCACUAAGUUCAGCAUCAAUAUGGUGACCUCCCGGGAGCGGGGGACCACCAGGUUGCCUAAGAAAGGGUAAACCGGCCCAGGCUGGAAAUGGAGCAGGUCAAAACUCCCGUGCUGAUCAGUAGUGGGAUUGCACCUGUGAAUAGCCACUGCACUCCAGCCUGGGCAACAGAGCAAGACUUAUCUCU
rnacentral:SRP_RNA from 1 species